UGGGGCGUAGCCAAGUGGUAAGGCAACGGGUUUUGGUCCCGCUAUUCGGAGGUUCGAAUCCUUCCGUCCCAGCC
rnacentral:tRNA from 1 species